rnacentral:rRNA from 1 species
GACGAACGCUGGCGGCGUGCUUAACACAUGCAAGUCGAACGAAGAGCGAUGGAAGCUUGCUUCUAUCAAUCUUAGUGGCGAACGGGUGAGUAACGCGUAAUCAACCUGCCCUUCAGAGGGGGGCAACAGUUGGAAACGACUGCUAAUACCGCAUACGAUCUAAUCUCGGCAUCGAGGAUAGAUGAAAGGUGGCCUCUACAUGUAAGCUAUCACUGAAGGAGGGGAUUGCGUCUGAUUAGCUAGUUGGAGGGGUAACGGCCCACCAAGGCGAUGAUCAGUAGCCGGUCUGAGAGGAUGAACGGCCACAUUGGGACUGAGACACGGCCCAGACUCCUACGGGAGGCAGCAGUGGGGAAUCUUCCGCAAUGGACGAAAGUCUGACGGAGCAACGCCGCGUGAGUGAUGACGGCCUUCGGGUUGUAAAGCUCUGUUAAUCGGGACGAAAGGCCUUCUUGCGAAUAGUGAGAAGGAUUGACGGUACCGGAAUAGAAAGCCACGGCUAACUACGUG